GACGGGGGAUGCGAGCGUUGUUCGGAAUCACUGGGCUUAAAGCGCGUGUAGGCCGCCGGGUAAGUACCUUGUGAAAUCCCACGUCUCAACCGUGGAACUGCUUGGUAUACUGCCCGGCUCGAGGCUGGUAGAGGUGCCUGGAACUCUAGGUGGAGCGGUGAAAUGCGUAGAUAUCCAGAGGAACGCCCGUGGCGAAAGCGGGGCACUGGGCCUGACCUGACGCUGAGACGCGAAAGCGUGGGGAGCAAACGGG
rnacentral:rRNA from 1 species